GCGAGGAUGGCGGAAUUGGCAGACGCGCUGGAUUCAGGUUCCAGUGGGGUAACUCCCGUGAAGGUUCAAGUCCUUUUCCUCGCACCA
rnacentral:tRNA from 1 species